rnacentral:misc_RNA from 1 species
UCCUCGCGUCGCAGUUCGAACGUUUCACAAAUAAGCUAUACAUAUAUAUUAGACUAUAAAGAUCUCGAUAACCUUCUUGUACUCACGCUUGUUGUCAACCGACUCCACCAGAUUCUUCCAACCGCCUUUUGUCUCAACUCUGACCUGGACGCUCUCUGACCCUUACACACGCAUUCACAUGUACAGUGUAAAUGUAUCGUCUACCUAACAAUUG